AACCCAUUAUAAACUUAAUUAUAAGCUACAUCUUGAUCUGAUAUACUUAAAACUAUAAAAUUAAAAAAAUUAUUAUUUUUAUAAAAUAUUCUAUAAACAACGAUAUAUAAACUAUAACAAAAUUAAGUAAGAUACAACGUGGACUAUCGAUUACAAAACAGGAUUCCUCUGAAUAGACUAAAAUACCGCCAAAUUUUUUAAAUUUCAAGACCAUAACUAAUACUACUUUAAUAUAUUAAAUUAAAUUUUUAUAAUAGGAAUAUCUAAU
rnacentral:rRNA from 1 species